rnacentral:rRNA from 1 species
GUUGUAUAAGUCUUGUUCGUUUAGGGUUAGAUUAAAAGAAUCUGAAAAAUAAUUUAGAGGGUUGAGUAAAGGUUAUUGAAAAAUAAAUAGAACUAUAGGUUAAAGUACUGUAAAGGAAAGAAAAAGUUAGUUUAUAUAGUAGAUAUAUAUUAUUGUACCUCGUGUAUUAGGGUUAAUUAAUAUCAUUUAGUUAUUUUAAAUAUCUCGAAAUAAAAAUAGCUAAGCUUAUAUAAUUGUCUUUAUAGAUAAAAAGUGCUGAAUGUAAGCUUAAAGGUGAGAUGUUAGUCGAGUUUUAUUAUUUCUAGUUUCUUUAAAAUUAAAUUAAAUUUAAACUUUAGAUACUCGAUAUCUAAAGUUAAACUGCAGGAGGGAGCAGCUUCUUGCACAUAUAAGAUAUAAAAGCAAAUUAAAUAUAAGUUAUUAAAAUUAAGCUUAAAAGUAGUUAUAUUGGUAAAGUGUUACAAUUAAGUAAUAAGUCAUAUGUUAUUUUUAUUUGCUUUAAGUAUAAUAUAAAGAUUUUAUUUUGAAUGUAAAAAAAUGAGCUAUAAUAAUUUUAUUAGUAUAAAUUUAUUGUGAGAUAAUAUAGUGAAAUAGUUUAAAUGGUUUAAUAUUAUUGUGAAAAUAUAAAGGAACUCGGCAAAUAUUCUUCUUGCCUGUUUAUUAAAAACAUGUCUGUUUGUUAAUAUAAAAAGUCUGACCUGCUCACUGAAUGAAUCUAUUUAAAGAGCCGCAGUAUAUUGACUGUGCAAAGGUAGCAUAAUCGUUUGGUUUUUAAUUGAAAUCUUGUAUGAAUGGUUUGACAAAGAAGAAGCUGUCUCUGUAUUUGAUAAUUGAAUUUAACUUUUAAGUGAAAAGGCUUAAAUAAAUUAAAAAGACGAUAAGACCCUAUAAAACUUUAUAUGUUAUUUUACUAGGUUGAGUUUUAACUAUAUAAAAAUUUAGUAAAGAAAUCGUAUUAUGCUGGGGCAGUAAAUAUAUAAUGGUUAAUAAUUGUUUUAGUUAAGUUACAUUUAUAAGAGAUUAAAAAUUAAAAUGAUCCUAAAUAAAGAUUAAAAGUUUAAGUUACUUUAGGGAUAACAGCGUUAUUUUUUUUGAGAGUUCUUAUCGAAAAAAAAGAUUGCGACCUCGAUGUUGAAUUAAAGUAUCUU